GGGUGAGUAAUGUAUCGGAACGUACCUUUCAGUGGGGGAUAACGCAGCGAAAGUACGCUAAUACCGCAUAUUCUGUGAGCAGGAAAGCAGGGGAUCGCAAGACCUUGCGCUGAUUGAGCGGCGAUAUCAGAUUAGCUAGAUGGUGAGGUAAAGGCUCACCAAGGCGACGAUCUGUAGCGGGUCUGAGAGGAUGAUCCGCCACACUGGAACUGAGACACGGUCCAGACUCCUACGGGAGGCAGCAGUGGGGAAUUUUGGACAAUGGGGGCAACCCUGAUCCAGCCAUGCCGCGUGAAUGAAGAAGGCCUUCGGGUUGUAAAGCUCUUUCGGCCGGGAAGAAAUCGCAUGGGUUAAUACCCUGUGCGGAUGACGGUACCGGCAUAAGAAGCACCGGCUAACUACGUGCCAGCAGCCGCGGUAAUACGUAGGGUGCGAGCGUUAAUCGGAAUUACUGGGCGUAAAGCGUGCGCAGGCGGUUUUGUAAGACAGGCGUGAAAUCCCCGGGCUCAACCUGGGAACUGCGCUUGUGACUGCAAGGCUAGAGUAUGGCAGAGGGGGGUGGAAUUCCACGUGUAGCAGUGAAAUGCGUAGAGAUGUGGAGGAACACCAAUGGCGAAGGCAGCCCCCUGGGCCAAUACUGACGCUCAUGCACGAAAGCGUGGGUAGCAAACAGGAUUAGAUACCCUGGUAGUCCACGCCCUAAACGAUGUCAACUAGGUGUUGGGUGGGUAAAACCAUUUAGUACCGGAGCUAACGCGUGAAGUUGACCGCCUGGGGAGUACGGCCGCAAGGUUAAAACUCAAAGGAAUUGACGGGGACCCGCACAAGCGGUGGAUGAUGAGGAUUAAUUCGAUGCAACGCGAAAAACCUUACCUACCCUUGACAUGUCCAGGAGCCUGAAGAGAUUUGGGUGUGCCCGAAAGGGAACUGGAACACAGGUGCUGCAUGGCUGUCGUCAGCUCGUGUCGUGAGAUGUUGGGUUAAGUCCCGCAACGAGCGCAACCCUUGUCGUUAAUUGCCAUCAUUUAGUUGGGCACUUUAACGAGACUGCCGGUGACAAACCGGAGGAAGGUGGGGAUGACGUCAAGUCCUCAUGGCCCUUAUGGGUAGGGCUUCACACGUCAUACAAUGGUCGGUACAAAGGGUUGCCAACCCGCAAGGGGGAGCCAAUCCCAGAAAGCCGAUCGUAGUCCGGAUUGCAGGCUGCAACUCGCCUGCAUGAAGUCGGAAUCGCUAGUAAUCGUGGAUCAGCAUGUCACGGUGAAUACGUUCCCGGGUCUUGUACACACCGCCCGUCACACCAUGGGAGCGGGUUCCGCCAGAAGUAGGUAGCCUAACCGCAAGGGGGGCGCUUACCACGACGGGGCUCGUGACUG
rnacentral:rRNA from 1 species